rnacentral:rRNA from 1 species
UACGUAGGUGGCAAGCGUUAUCCGGAUUUAUUGGGCGUAAAGGGAACGCAGGCGGUCUUUUAAGUCUGAUGUGAAAGCCUUCGGCUUAACCGGAGUAGUGCAUUGGAAACUGGGAGACUUGAGUGCAGAAGAGGAGAGUGGAACUCCAUGUGUAGCGGUGAAAUGCGUAGAUAUAUGGAAGAACACCAGUGGCGAAAGCGGCUCUCUGGUCUGUAACUGACGCUGAGGUUCGGAAGCGUGGGUAGCAAACAGG